UAUCGGCACAAUAUCUUUCACUGAGAAUGCCAUUUAUCAGCAGCAGUUUUCUAGGAUCACAAGACAGUGUCAAGCUCCCUGCCAACCUUUGGAAAUAGCCAUAGUGCUACUCCCUUCCCUGAAGAUGCAGUCUAAACCUGAGUUUGCAGAAGAACUUGAAGCACCCUAUCAACGUUACUGACAUGUCAAGAAUAUCCUGUCUAGAAGAAGGAUACCUCUUUUCACAAUCCACAUCAUAACAAAUUGGCAGGGGAUUUACAGU
rnacentral:lncRNA from 1 species